rnacentral:lncRNA from 1 species
AUUUGGGCUGGAUAAUUCUUGUGGGGACUGUCCUGUGCAUCAUAGGAUGUUUAGAAGCAUCCCCAGCCUCUACCCACUACGUGCCAGUAGCAUCACCCUCCCCAAUGUGACAAUCAAAAAUGUCUCCAGACAUCACCAAAGGUCAUGGGGAGGAAUGAGCAAAAUCAUCUUCAGUAGUCCACCCACCCCUCAUCUUCAGGGGAUAUCUUCCAAGAUCCCUCGUGAUGCCUGAAACCUUGGAUGGUACGGAACCCUGUAUACACUGUGUUUUUCAAUCUGAUCAUCGAGAAGGCUACUGACUAAGGGGCAGGUAACAUAUACAGCCUGGAUAGCUGCAAGGGGAUGAUUCCUGUUCCAGGUGGGAUGGUGUGAGAUUUCAUCAUGCUACUUAGAAUCGC